UGCAUACGUUACGUACUGGGCGGCUACCUCGUUGUUUUCUUCUGGUCGUCGCCUAUUUCGUGUUGAAUAAAGCCAAUAAUAAUAAUCUAGCACACUAAUGUUGUAUUUUGGUUACAUGGCACCAUUUUCUUAGUUGUGUAUUGGUUAUAAACUGCAGAGCAGAGAACUCUCACCUCAUACCAAAACCCCAGUAACCAAAGCAAGUAUCAUCUCCUCUGCUACCUCUUCAAGGAAAUGGCUGCAACUACUGCAAGUUCUUCUCUCGCCGUUCGCACCGCGGUGCUCUUCAUGGCGGUAUUGCUGAUGAGCGCGUCUGCAAUGGCUGCGGACGGCCCCACACCCCCGCCAACUGCUGGUGGCGGAGGUGGCGGAGGUGGCGGAGGUAGCUCCUCCGCCUUCCGCGAGAUCCCGUCAACCGCUUCCGCCCUCUUCGCCGGGCUCGCGUUCCUAAUUUCACUCUUCUACUAGGUUGAAGAGAAGAGGCCUACUGUUAGUUACCUUCCUGUUGUUGUUUGCUUAUAUAUUGUUUCCCUUCCAUGUAUUUCUCCGGCUUGUUUCAGAUUACUGUUUCAUUGGUUGGUUGGUGAUUAUCUUUAUUGGUAAUUCUUAUAGUUAGCAAGUGAGAUGUUAUUUCUUUCUCUUCUUAUAUAUAUAGUUGUGUAUUAAAAUGAA